rnacentral:rRNA from 1 species
UCAAGUGGAAAGUGGCGGACGAGCGAGUAACACGUAAGAACCUGCCCCAUACUCAGGGAUAACCUGCCGAAAGGUGGGCUAAUACCGGAUAGUCUCGAAAGAGUAAAGCUUUUGCGGUAUGGGAGGGGCUUGCGGCCUAUCAGCUAGUUGGUGAGGUAAAGGCUUACCAAGGCUACGACAGGUAACUGGUGUGAGAGCAUGACCAGUCGCGAUGGAACUGAGACACGGUCCAUACUCC